AUUGAACGCUGGCGGCAGGCCUAACACAUGCAAGUCGAACGAGUGGCGGACGGGUGAGUAAUGUCUGGGAAACUGCCUGAUGGAGGGGGAUAACUACUGGAAACGGUAGCUAAUACCGCAUACCAUCCGAUUUGCCCAGGGGGGAUGGGCUAGUAGGUGGGGUAAUGGCUAACCAAGGCGACGAUCCCUAGCUGGUCUGAGAGGGUGACAGGCCACAUUGGAACUGGGACACGGUCCAGACUCCUACGGGAGGCAGCAGUGGGGAAUAUUGCGCAAUGGGCGCAAGCCUGAUGCAGCCAUGCAGCGUGUAUGAAGAAGGCCUUCGGGUUGUAAAGUACUUUCGGCGGGGAGGCGUUACCCGCAGAAGAAGCACCGGCUAACUCCGUGCCAGCAGCCGCGGUAAUAC
rnacentral:rRNA from 1 species